CAGUCGAACCGCUGCACUAAUGAACCCACACCUAUAUGCAUCACAUUCAUGGCAAGGGAAGCUCCUGGACAUCCUCUUCUUCCACUCCCAAAUGGAAGGUAACGGAAAUUCUGGCCCUUGAACUCCAUCUGAUGUUCGCCUAUCUUCUCUUCAGAGCUCUCUAGAAAUCUCUCGGGGAUGAAUCUGUCUGCAUCCUUCCAUAGUUCUGAAUCUCGCAUAAUUGCAUAGACAUUAACGAGUACGCGGGUUUUUGACUUGACAAGGCACCCGUUCACCUGGCAGUCUUCUGCGCAUUCUCUUAUGAUCAGAGGAGCUGAAGGGUGUAGCCUUAGAGUUUCCCUUAGGACAGCUCGGAGGUAAGGGAGGUUAGGAACGUCUGAUUCUUUGACCAGUCUUUUACUUCCAACAACGGUAUUGAUCUCUUCUCUUAACCUGUUGAACGCUUGCGGAUGGUUUAUUAGUUGUCCCAUUGCCCACUGCAUUGCUGCUGCUGAUGUAUCUGUUCCCGCCAUAAAAACAUCCUAAAGAAGUUUCAUGCAACACAGUUUUAUCAUAUCAGAAUAAUCAAAUGAAUAAUUGGAUUCUGUUGGCAGGUGAGAGGAAACAUACCAGCAGGAAAGAUUUCAUGUCAUUCCUCGUUAGCUUCAUUUCAGCAGUGGGGUCUCUGUACGUUUCCAACAAUAUAUCCAAAAUAUCCUUUCUGGUACCAUCUUUCUUUGUCGCCUUUGCCUCACGUUCCUGCAUAAUCCUCUCUACAAGCAGGUCAUAUUUUUCCAUUACGGCCACUAACCUCUUCCCGUUCCCCGAAAAAUCCAGUACUUUCAAUGGCCCCAACACAUCUCCUACACUGAUCUUCCCCGCAAGCUCCAAACAUGUCUUCACCAGCUUCCUUAUCUCUUCUGCUUCAU
rnacentral:lncRNA from 1 species